GCCACCUGGAAGCUGCCAGUUCUGAGCUCAAACCACACUAACAGCAUCAGGGUCUCCCCUUUCCAAGAUGAUCUUUCCUCACACCACCCACUCAGGAUAUACCAAACCAGUGAGUUAUGACCCACAGCCUCAGGUUGAGGGUGGUGAUGCCUCUGGAGGGUGAUGGGAAUCAGGUACAGAUACCUGGUUGCCGUGGAAACCGGAUGCGGGAGGAUGGAGAUGGGCUGCAGACCCCCCCCCCCACUGCCACAACUUCCACAGAGCGAAUUGGCUUUGCAAGGAUUUCAAUUGCCACUUCCCUGAAGGCAAAGGCGUGCGAUUCCUUCUGCUCUUUACCAGAAAAUUCCAACUGCCUGAGAUCGAACUCGUUUGCCUGAAAUAAUUGUUCUGGGUACGUUUUCCAGUUGAAGGAGAAGGGCUGAAGAUAAACGUGUUGGAUUUUGACUUCCUGUGAACUACAGCCCUUUUUAUUCCAUAGUUUUAAGGGGAGAAAAAAAAUAAAAAUGAUGAGAGAGA
rnacentral:lncRNA from 1 species